GACGUAGGGUGCGAGCGUUGUCCGGAAUUAUUGGGCGUAAAGGGCUCGUAGGCGGUUUGUCGCGUCGGGAGUGAAAACCCAGGGCUUAACUCUGGGCUUGCUUUCGAUACGGGCAGACUAGAGGUAUGCAGGGGAGAACGGAAUUCCUGGUGUAGCGGUGAAAUGCGCAGAUAUCAGGAGGAACACCGGUGGCGAAGGCGGUUCUCUGGGCAUUACCUGACGCUGAGGAGCGAAAGUGUGGGGAGCGAACAGG
rnacentral:rRNA from 1 species